UGGGGAAUUUUGGACAAUGGGCGAAAGCCUGAUCCAGCAAUGCCGCGUGUGUGAAGAAGGCCUUCGGGUUGUAAAGCACUUUUGUCCGGAAAGAAAUCCUUGGCUCUAAUACAGUCGGGGGAUGACGGUACCGGAAGAAUAAGCACCGGCUAACUACGUGCCAGCAGCCGCGGUAAUACGUAGGGUGCAAGCGUUAAUCGGAAUUACUGGGCGUAAAGCGUGCGCAGGCGGUUUGCUAAGACCGAUGUGAAAUCCCCGGGCUCAACCUGGGAACUGCAUUGGUGACUGGCAGGCUAGAGUAUGGCAGAGGGGGGUAGAAUUCCACGUGUAGCAGUGAAAUGCGUAGAGAUGUGGAGGAAUACCGAUGGCGAAGGCAGCCCCCUGGGCCAAAUACUGACGCUCAUGCACGAAAGCGUGGGGAGCAAACAGGAUUAGAUACCCUGGUAGUCCACGCCCUAAACGAUGUCAACUAGUUGUUGGGGAUUCAUUUCCUAGUAACGUACCUAACGCGUGAAGUUGACCGCCUGGGGAGUACGGUCGCAAGAUUAAAACUCAAAUGAAUUGACGGGGUCAUAGCUGUUUCCU
rnacentral:rRNA from 1 species